rnacentral:rRNA from 1 species
CCGCCGGCGACCGGCGCACGGGUGAGUAACACGUAUGCAACCUGCCCCUGUCAGGGGGACAACCCGCCGAAAGGCGGGCUAGACCCGCGUACAUGCCACCGGGGCAUCCCGGAGGCAGGAAAGGCUUCGGCCGGACAGGGAUGGGCAUGCGGCGCAUUAGGCAGUAGGCGGGGUAACGGCCCACCUAACCGACGAUGCGUAGGAGUUCUGAGAGGAAGGUCCCCCACCACUGGUACUGAGACACGGACCAGACUCCUACGGGAGGCAGCAG